rnacentral:SRP_RNA from 1 species
UGCGUGAUGAACGAAGUCAUCGGCUAAGAUCUAGGAACUAUGUAUGAAUAAAACAUAAUUGAUAAGGAUCAAACUCAGAGAAUAACAAAAUA